rnacentral:lncRNA from 1 species
AGCCAAGCCUGCUGCUGGUCUGCUGCCUCUGGUGGCUUGGAACCUGUGCCUGUCUCUGUAAGAGCUAGAAAAAUAAAAACACCGUGUAAAUGCUUCACAUAAAACUGCACUCAGUGUGAAGACAAGUGGAUGCCUGUGGUGACAUCAACUUCAAGGGACUCUCUUGUGGUUACCUGUAGCUGUGUAGCUGUGGGACACUUUGCCUUGCUGUCUGCUCUUUGGUACAACCGAGACGGUGUCUGAUGCCUCCUUGGGCCUUUCCACAACAUCCCCCUCAUGAAGACUGAACUGAAGAAUAUGUAAGCAUAUCUUAGCUGUCUUGAACCUAUCUAUCUGCACUAGCUUCUACAGUAACCCCUCCUCUGCACUCCUGACUUGCAUCUCUCUUCACCAGCUCCUGAG